rnacentral:rRNA from 1 species
UACAGAGGUCCCAAGCGUUGUUCGGAUUCAUUGGGCGUAAAGCGCGUGUAGGCGGCCCGGUAAGUCCGCUGUGAAAGUCGGGGGCUCAACCCUCGGAUGCCGGUGGAUACUGUCGGGCUCGAGUACGGAAGAGGCGAGUGGAAUUCCUGGUGUAGCGGUGAAAUGCGCAGAUAUCAGGAGGAACACCGAUUGCGAAGGCAGCUCGCUGGGACGUUACUGACGCUGAGACGCGAAAGCGUGGGGAGCAAACAGG